UACGUAGGGUGCAAGCGUUAAUCGGAACUACUGGGCGUAAAGCGUGCGCAGGCGGUGAUGUAAGACAGUCGUGAAAUCCCCGGGCUCAACCUGGGAAUUGCGAUUGUGACUGCAUCGCUGGAGUGCGGCAGAGGGGGAUGGAAUUCCGCGUGUAGCAGUGAAAUGCGUAGAUAUGCGGAGGAACACCGAUGGCGAAGGCAAUCCCCUGGGCCUGCACUGACGCUCAUGCACGAAAGCGUGGGGAGCAAACAGG
rnacentral:misc_RNA from 1 species